rnacentral:rRNA from 1 species
UACGUAGGGACCAAGCGUUGUUCGGAUUUACUGGGCGUAAAGGGCGCGUAGGCGGCUUAACAAGUCACUUGUGAAAUCUCCGGGCUUAACUCGGAACGGCCAAGUGAAACUGUCAAGCUAGAGUGCAGAAGGGGCAAUCGGAAUUCUUGGUGUAGCGGUGAAAUGCGUAGAUAUCAAGAGGAACACCUGAGGUGAAGACGGGUUGCUGGGCUGACACUGACGCUGAGGCGCGAAGGCCAGGGGAGCAAACGGG